CCGGUAAGGGAUGGGCAUGCGUAGGAUUAGCUAGUUGGCGGUGUAACGGACCACCAAGGCUUCGAUCCUUAGGGGUUCUGAGAGGAAGGUCCCCCACACUGGCACUGAGAUACGGGCCAG
rnacentral:rRNA from 1 species